UGGAUACACACGGGAGAAAUAGGAUGCC
rnacentral:piRNA from 1 species